rnacentral:rRNA from 1 species
AGUGGAUGGGGAGCAACCUAGUUGUGCGUGUGUAAAGGUAGUGCCAAGAAAAGCGGUGAUCAUGAUGAAAAUCAAUUCCCGGUACCCGAAACCGACACAGGUGGGCAAGUAGAGAAUACUAAGGGGCGCGAGGUAACUCUCUCCAAGGAACUCGGCAAAAUGACCCCGUAACUUAGGGAGAAGGGGUGCCACCGAGAGGUGGUCGCAGUGAAGAGGCCCAGGCGACUGUUUAGCAAAAACAUAGGUCUCUGCAAACUCGAAAGAGGAGGUAUAGGGGCUGACGCCUGCCCAGUGCCGGAAGGUUAAAGAAGUUGGUCAGUCUUAGGAUAAAGCUAGCGACUGAAGCCCCGGUGAACGGCGGCCGUAACUAUAACGGUCCUAAGGUAGCGAAAUUCCUUGUCGGGUAAGUUCCGACCCGCACGAAAGGCGUAACGAUCUGGGCGCUGUCUCGGAGAGAGGCUCGGCGAAAUAGGAUUGUCUGUGAAGAUACGGACUACCUGCAUUUGGACAGAAAGACCCUAUGAAGCUUUACUAUAGCUUGGAAUUGUGUUCGGGCUUCCUGUGCGCAGGAUAGGUGGGAGGCGUAGAAGGUAUUCUUGUGGGGAUACUGGAGCCAACGGUGAGAUACCACUCUCAGGAGGCUAGAAUUCUAACUUAAUUAAGGACAGUUUCAGGUGGGUAGUUUGACUGGGGCGGUCGCCUCCAAAAAGGUAACGGAGGCGUACAAAGGUUCCCUCAGACUGGUUGGAAAUCAGUCGCAGAGUGCAAAGGCAGAAGGGAGCUUGACUGCGAGAAGUACAGUUCGAGCAGGGUGGAAACACGGUCUUAGUGAUCCGACGGUGCUGUGUGGAAGGGCCGUCGCUCAACGGAUAAAAGUUACUCUAGGAUAACAGGCUGAUCUCCCCCAAGAGUUCACAUCGACGGGGAGGUUUGGCACCUCGAUGUCGGCUCAUCGCAACCUGGGGCGGAAGUACGUCCCAAGGGUUGGGCUGUUCGCCCAUUAAAGCGGUACGUGAGCUGGGUUCAGAACGUCGUGAGACAGUUCGGUCCAUAUCCGAUGUAGGCGUGAGAAUAUUGAGAGGAGCCUUCCUUAGUACGAGAGGACCGGGAAGGACGCACCGCUGGUGUACCUGUUAUGAUGCCAAUUGUAAACGCAGGGUAGCCAAGUGCGGAGAGGAUAACCGCUGAAAGCAUCUAAGUGGGAAGCCCACCUCAAGAUGAGUAUUCUGGAGUAAGGUCACGGGAAGACGACCCGUAAAUAGGCACGAGGUGGAAGUGCAGAGAUGUAUGAAGCCGAAGUGUACUAAUAGACCGUCGGC